rnacentral:rRNA from 1 species
GGGUGAUCUGCCCUGCACUUCGGGAUAAGCCUGGGAAACUGGGUCUAAUACCGGAUAUGACCUCCUAUCGCAUGGUGGGUGGUGGAAAGAUUUAUCGGUGCAGGAUGGGCCCGCGGCCUAUCAGCUUGUUGGUGGGGUAAUGGCCUACCAAGGCGACGACGGGUAGCCGACCUGAGAGGGUGACCGGCCACACUGGGACUGAGACACGGCCCAGACUCCUACGGGAGGCAGCAGUGGGGAAUAUUGCACAAUGGGCGAAAGCCUGAUGCAGCGACGCCGCGUGAGGGAUGACGGCCUUCGGGUUGUAAACCUCUUUCAGCAGGGACGAAGCGCAAGUGACGGUACCUGCAGAAGAAGCACCGGCUAACUACGUGCCAGCAGCCGCGGUAAUACGUAGGGUGCAAGCGUUGUCCGGAAUUACUGGGCGUAAAGAGUUCGUAGGCGGUUUGUCGCGUCGUUUGUGAAAACCAGCAGCUCAACUGCUGGCUUGCAGGCGAUACGGGCAGACUUGAGUACUGCAGGGGAGACUGGAAUUCCUGGUGUAGCGGUGAAAUGCGCAGAUAUCAGGAGGAACACCGGUGGCGAAGGCGGGUCUCUGGGCAGUAACUGACGCUGAGGAACGAAAGCGUGGGUAGCGAACAGGAUUAGAUACCCUGGUAGUCCACGCCGUAAACGGUGGGCGCUAGGUGUGGGUUCCUUCCACGG